CUGGAACUGCCUUCUCGUCGGCUGUUAACGACGCACGCAAAAACGAGGAAAGGUUGUAAUGGAGAAAUAGAGGCACGGUGACUGGGAGAAAUAAGGGAACGCCUCCCUAAUGCUGGUUCAAUGAGAGUCAUAUGACAUCUGUUACCCCUUGACUCCACAAUUACCUCCUAUGGGAAAUGUUGUGGGUCAUCUCCAGUCUUGGGCUCCCCCAGUAUCCACCAGCAUCCUCUCUCAGCAGUAAAGGACUUCAGGUUCCUGGUGUCUUGGAGGAUGACUACAAGUAUAUCCUGUUUCACUUCCUGAGUGGACAGACAUGCGGAGGCCCCAGUUGAACUGUUCGUGGGGUGGUAACCUCUGUAACAAACAUGUUCUGCCAUAAUGCCAUAUAUCUCGAAGUGACACAAUUAUUAGAUAUGUCAGCGUUAAUGGCAGAUAAACAAAGGUGAGCAAACAAAAAAGGACAUGUCAGUCACAGCAUACAACCACAGACUAGGAAAAGAUGUAAUGAGGCAACCUGUUAAAUGACACCUGAAUGAACCUGGCAUUGUACGUGCAACCGAGUCAUCUAAUGAAUAAGACCAUCAGCAGUUUCAAAUCAGACUUUCAGUUUCAAAAAUGGUAUUUCUGUAAGUGUAAACCUUUCUUUGGAGAGCUACAAAUGUUUGUAUUUCCUUUUCUCUAAUUGUUCUUUAUCUGUGGAUCAUAAAUCUCUCAGGGAAGGGCCAUUAGGAAGAAAAUGGCUGGCAGGGACUUUGCCACAGGGACAUUGCCAGUCUAUUCCCACACAGAGGAUGUCCAGGCACUAACUAUAGACACAAGUGUUACAAGUUGCAGUCCAUUCACCAGAGUCAGAUGACAGCAUGUCCCUGGCAGCCCAGGACUUUGAUGCCAGCAACAAACUAGCUAGUAUUUGGGAUUUCUGUAGUUAGCAUGGUUUCAUUUCCAAAUAGCAAAAGAAUUGAAUCUUAACAUAAUAUCCUUGAAUAUCAUUGUGUUGUGAAUAUUUUACGGUGUGGCCUGUUUCCUGAACCCCGAUGCAAUGUGCCUUAAUGCACUAGGUAUAGCACAUGAUUCAGUACACUGCUGGAAAAAAAACCCCCAAAAAACAAUGGCAUUAUGCUACAUCAGAGCUGUUUCUCAUGACUAGCAGGUUUUUAUGAUUAACAUUUAAAUUUAUUAUUUUUUAUUGAACUAUGCAAGCAGUUCUGUAAGUUGUGUUUUUUUAAGUGUUUAGGUCUUAACCCAUGGUGACAGGCAGGUCUGGGAAAACAGCACGGAAAAGUCUACUCACAAUCAAAUAUCCUGCCUUAAGUGUUUCGGGGGAGUUUGUGUAAAUAGGACUCUGUGAGUGGAGCUGUAAAAUGAUUUCCUGUUACAAGCACAGUGGUUUGUUGAUGAACAUCAAGAAGAACAUGACAGGAACUGGCAUCAUGCAACAGACACGCAAGCAGCAUGGAAGAAAUUGCAAGGCAUUUUUGCACAUGCUGCUUGCAAUAA